rnacentral:rRNA from 1 species
GUGCCCUACGGGAGGCAGCAGUAGGGAAUUUUCGUCAAUGGGCGCAAGCCUGAACGAGCAAUGCCGCGUGAACGAGGAAGGUCUUCGGAUCGUAAAGUUCUGUUGAAGGGGAAAAAGAGCGGAGAGAGGAAAUGAACUCCGAUUGAUAUUACCCUUCGAGGAAGUCACGGCUAACUACGUGCCAGCAGCCGCGGUAAUACGUAGGUGGCGAGCGUUAUCCGGAAUUAUUGGGCGUAAAGGGAGCGUAGACGGGGUGGCAAGUCUGAAGUGAAAGCCCGGGGCUCAACCCCGGUGCUGCUUUGGAA